GACAGCGGUGUCCGGCGCCAUCACGACCCUUAGUGGAUUUUGGGUCGUGACAGGUAUAAUUCAAGAACUCCUUCCUCUUGCCUUGCGGAGAUCAGUAGAUAAAAUAGUUAGUUCCAUUUUAAUUGAACUAUGAUCAUUCUUUCAUGUUUUGUGUAGCAAAGAACUAAAACUAGAAGAGUUAAAGUUACUUGAAGAAAAAAUUCCAGAAACAUUGUCUACUAUGGAGAAACGUUUCCUUCCAGGAUUCUUUACUAUUAUGAUACAUUUGGUAAUUCACUUGGCAACUGAGGCUAAACUUGUGGGGCCAGUACAUUAUCGCUGGAUGUAUCCAAUUGCGAGGUAUUUGGGUAUUUUAAAACCAUAUGUUCGUAAUCGUGCAUGUAGAAGGUUCAGUAGCAGAAGUAUAUAUAGCAAAUGCGUGUAUGGCAUUUUGCUCACGAUAUUUGGAGGGUGGGGAUUCAAGGUCUUAUUGUUCAAGAAAAUGCGGUGAUGAAAUUGAGCAUGAGACUAGUAAAGAAGAAUGUCUUUUUCCAACUGUUGGUGAGUCGUACGGUGGAGUAGAUGUAUUUGAGUUGGAUGAGAAAACAUGGUUGCAAGCACAUCGACAUGUACUUUUCAAUUGCGAGUCAGAAGUGGUUGAGAAUUAUAAAAAGGAACAUAUUACUGAAAUCAAGAGAUCAUAUCGAAGCGUCGUUUGACACAACAUCAACUUGAUCGUGUGCAUUUCGAUACAUUUCACAAGUGGUUCAAGGAGAAAGUAAAGGAGUUAGAAGCCACAUCUAACAUCUUAAAGGAUAGUAAAGUCCUUGCACAAGGGACGAGUUACAUUGCGAAAAGAUUUAAUACGUUCGAUGUAAAUAAUGAGUUUCGAACGAAGCAAAGUGAAGAAUUUAAGGUGACACAAAAUAGUGGUGUUAUGGUCAUUUCAAAGACUUAAAGUUAUGCAAGUACAAGUGACAAUGCUACGAAGUCUGCAAAUAUCACAUAUUAUGGCAGAUUGAAUGAUAUUGUGGAGUUAAACUACUAUGAAGAAUUUAAGGUUGUAUUAUUUAAGUGUGAUUGGGUUGAUGUAACCAAAGGUAGAGGAGUUAAGGAAGAUGACUUGGGUUUCACACUUGUGAAUUUCUCACGCUUAACAGACUCUGGCGAUCGAGAACGUCAUGAGCCCUUUAUUUUUGCAGAACAAGCUCAACAAGUAAAUUUGUACAAGAUCCUCAAGAUCAUGAAUGGUUUGUCCCUAGGUUAAUUAAACCUCGAGAUAUUUUUAAUAUGGGAGAGGAAAAUAGUUUGCAGUUUGAGUCAUCAAUGCAGAGUGAUGCCACUGACUUGACACUCUUAGAAAAUGCUCGUGUUUCAGAGGAUGAGUAUAAUGAUUGGGUAAGACGUGGUGUCGAUGGGAUAGUAAUUGAUACAAACGUACAUUCUCAAGCUUCUCUAAAUGAUGGUGAAACUAAUAUUGAGAGAGAAAAUGCCAUUAAAAAUGAAUGUGAUUCUGAAUAAGAUAGGUAGAACUUAUAGAGUAUUUUUCUUGCAAGUGUUAUUUAAGAACUUCUAGGGAUUUUUUUAAUUCAGAAAUUUGAAUAAAUAUACUUUUUGCUUUCAAUUUGAGCCAUUUCAUAGAAAAUGCA